rnacentral:tRNA from 1 species
UGGGGCGUGGCCAAGUGGUAAGGCAACGGGUUUUGGUCCCGCUAUUCGGAGGUCAAACUCUUCCGUCCCAG